rnacentral:rRNA from 1 species
UACGUAGGGGGCAAGCGUUGUCCGGAAUUAUUGGGCGUAAAGAGCUCGUAGGUGGUUUGUUACGUCUGCUGUGAAAACCUAGGGCUUAACCCUGGGCUUGCAGUGGAUACGGGCAGACUAGAGGUAGGUAGGGGAGAAUGGAAUUCCUGGUGUAGCGGUGAAAUGCGCAGAUAUCAGGAGGAACACCGGUGGCGAAGGCGGUUCUCUGGGCCUUACCUGACACUGAGGCACGAAGGCCAGGGGAGCAAACGGGG